UUGAACUCGGGGUGCUGAUGUGUCCGGGACACAGAGGCUGAGAUCAUACCCAAUGUACCUGAUGCGGGUAAUGCCGCCGUAGGAAACAAUA
rnacentral:ncRNA from 1 species